UGUAAGGUAUAUUACUGUCGGGUGUCGAGCCUCGAGCACCCUUCCUAUGUAGCCAAGACAAGCAAAGUUCAAGCGCACUUAGCCACGUGGUACCGCGUGACACUCUAUUCCUCCAUGCACGUGAUGUCUGCACUCUCCCCCUUUUGUCUUGAAGGUUAAAGGUCGUAUAAUGUUUCUGUUAAAAAAAGAAAUAUAUAAAUCUACAUAAUACAAAUGAUAAAAUACAACGCAUUACCUGAUUCGGAGUUUUCCUCUGACAAUUUGGAGGAACACAUUUAUUCAGUCAACUUUCAGUUUUACUAUUAUCAAAAGAUGAAGUAACUGGAGUCACGACAAUUCAAAAGACCGCUUAAACCAGGUAAAUUGUCUGUCCUGACGUGUGAGGGAAAGCGGUAAUCUCCGGAACGUGAUGUGAUGAUGUAUAGAUAGACACACCUAUAGUGUCAGCGCAAACGAACUAUGUCGGCGGUCACCUAUGGCACACCACAUUGGACAGUAUCAGUUAGUGACACUUGAGGGAAAUAGGUGUUCAGAGGAACUUGAUUGUGGACACAGAAAGAGAAGUUGAAAUCGCAAUCAAGACUCAAGUUGUGUUGUCUUUUAUGUUUCCCUACAUUUUGGCCCUUGCACAUUGUAAGACUAAGACAGUAGAUUAAAAAAUUGACAGGCAAUUUUUUUUAGCGGGAGGGGGAGGAGUUGUUAUGACAUGAUUAGGAAGUAGUUAGGAAUUAGUUAUUUGUUUCGGGAAUAGGGUAAAGUUUUAAUUAGCGACAAGUGACGUGACAGAUCUUUAAAAAUAAGAACGCUCUAAACGACGCUAGAAGGAGGACGCUUAUUGUAAAGUAGUAGACUUGAGUACGACAUUAUUGACAUCGGACGAUUCCCUUUUGAGUAUUAAACAUAUUGUUAGAACAACA